ACCCGCUGAACUUAAGCAUAUCAGUAAGCGGAGGAAAAGAAACUAACUAGGAUUCCCCGAGUAGCGGCGAGCGAAAGGGGAGAAGCCCAGCGCCGAAGCCCGCGGCCCCCGGCCGCAGUGCAAUGUGGCGUUUCGGCGGCGUCUCGCCGCGACUUCUCUGGCAUGCGUACCUCUGAAUGGGUCUGCCCGCAGCGGGUGUCAGGCCUCUACUUGCCAAACGAGUUGUCGCGGCCCGACGUCGUCGCGGAGUCGGGUUGCUUGAGAGUGCAGCCCAAAGUGGGUGGUAAGCUCCAUCUAAGGCUAAAUACCUAGUGUGAGACCGAUAGCAAACAAGUACCGUGAGGGAAAGUUGCAAAGAACUUUGAAAAGAGAGUUCAAGAGUACGUGAAACCGUUCAGAGGCAAACGGACGGAACUGGGCGAGUUCGCCGUCGUCAUUCAGCCGGCCGCUGCGCUUCCUCCGGGGGGCGCGCGCCGGUGCACUUGGCGGCGGCGGAGCACGGCGACCGCCUGUCGGGUCGCCUGAAGCCCGGCGGCAAGGUGGCGACGCGUUCGCGCGUCGUGUUAUAGGCCGCCGAGGCGUUGGCAGACCUGGCGGGCGAGGAGCGCCUGCGGUGCACUCCCCUCGUGGGAGCGGCCCGACAACGGUGGGCUUGCGGACGCCGGCGACGAACUGCUCGCAGUUUGACGUCGCGCGCUCCGUCUGUCGCGCCGCGCGGUGCCGCGCUGCACCCAGGGUCCGAGCCGUGUGGUUCCUGGCACUCCGUCCGACCCGUCUUGAAACACGGACCAAGGAGUUGAGCACGUGCGCGAGUCGAUGGGCUCCAAGAACCCCAGUGGCGCAGCUAAGGCAAAACGGGCGUGAUCCGGCACCUGGCGGUGUUGGCGCAACGCCGGCCCGCAGCCGACUCGUUGCGAGUGGCUGCGGCGCAAGAGCGUGCGUGCUCAGACCCGAAAGGUGGUGAACUAUGCUUGAGCAGGGCGAAGCCAGAGGAAACUCUGGUGGAGGCUCGCAGCGAUCCUGACGUGCAAAUCGGUCGUCAAACUUGAGCAUAGGGGCGAAAGACUAAUCGAACCGCCUAGUAGCUGGUUCCCUCCGAAGUUUCCCUCAGGAUAGCUGGCACUCGGGAUAAAUGGUUUUAUCCGGUAAAGCGAAUGAUUAGAGGCAUUGGGGACGAAACGUCCUCAACCUAUUCUCAAACUUUAAAUGGGUAAGAGGCGCGACCCUUCCUGAUCGGGGUCGCGUGCUUGAACAGAGAGUGCCCAGUGGGCCGUUUUUGGUAAGCAGAACUGGCGCUGUGGGAUGAACCAAACGCCCGGUUAGGGUGCCUAACGCACGCUCAUGAGACACCACAAAAGGUGUUGGUUGAUAUAGACAGCAGGACGGUGGCCAUGGAAGUCGGAAUCCGCUAAGGAGUGUGUAACAACUCACCUGCCGAAUCAACUAGCCCUGAAAAUGGAUGGCGCUGGAGCGUGCGACCCAUACCGGGCCGUCGGGGCAAUGCGUGCGAAAUGCCAGGCCCCGACGAGUAGGAGGGCGUGUCGGUGGCGUUGAAGCGUAGUGCGCGAGCACGCGUGGAGCCGCCUUCAGUGCAGAUCUUGGUGGUAGUAGCAAGUAUACAAAUGAGAACUUUGUAGACCGAAGUGGAGAAGGGUUCCAUGUGAACAGCAGUUGGACAUGGGUCAGUCGGCCCUAAGAGAUCGGAGAAUUCCGUUCUGAACGGGGAGUUGACGCAGUUGGACGCAGCUCUGCCCAGUCGCGAGUUGGUUGGUGUGCGGCCCGCGCGCUUCCGUCUGAACACACGUUGCUCCCGCUCCUUCAUUGAGAGCGGGAGGGCGAUGGACGGGCAAGAGCGGCGGCGGCGGAGCCGGCACGGCCACUCUCGCACACUCGCUUCUCUCGCCUGCUCCCAUUCCAACAUACCGAGUUUGGGAGGGGCGGUCGAGGAGAGAGAGAGAGAGAGGUUGCGGCGCUCGUGGCAGGGCUCGCAAUAUGUGCAAUGGCGGACAGGUCGCCCCGAUGCGAUCGAAAGGGAAUCGGGUUAAUAUUCCCGAACCUGGCAGUGGAGAUUGGGCCCUCGGGCCCCAGUGCGGUAACGCAACCGAACUCGGAGACGCCAGCGUCGAUCCCGGGAAGAGUUCUCUUUUCUUUGUUAGGAGCGGACUCCCUGGAAUUGGCUUGUCCAGAGAUAGGGACGUUGCAUCCGUAAAGCGUCGCGCCUCACGCGGCGUCCGGUGCAUCGGCGUUGGCCCUUGAAAAUCCGAGGAAGGCAGUGUAAUUUUCACUCCAGGCCGUACCCGAAUCCGCAGCAGGUCUCCAAGGUGCACAGCCUCUGGUCGAUAGAACAAUGUAGGUAAGGGAAGUCGGCAAAUCCGAUCCGUAACUUCGGGAUAAGGAUUGGCUCUGAGGUGCGGGCUGCUUCGGGUCGCGGCAAGAAGCGGGCCGUGCGUUGGCUGGACUGGGCGCGCCUUCCGGGGUGCGUUCGGACCGUCGCCUGCGC
rnacentral:rRNA from 1 species